GGCCUAAUGUGCCGGCAAUGUGGAUGUGGAGCUUAUGUGGCGUACGGGCUUCCUGACUACCGAGUCGAAUUUGUAUGUAUUUGACUGAACAGGUUAAGUAACAAACAACAGCUUGAUGACCAGAAUGUUAAAAGGUUAUGAAACAUUGGAGUUUAAUUAACUGCCUCCUGUUCAACAGAUCAUACUGCAUUCUACAUAAAAGUGUGAAUCAAAAGUGCACAAUGAAAUAUCUCAAACAAGAAGAAGCCGUUAAUGUGGAUUUAGAACUCUUCAAUGAGUACAAAUUCAGUGUGGACCAAUUGAUGGAACUGGCUGGUUUGAGCUGUGCCACCGCAAUUGCAAAAACAUACUCAAUUAAAAGCCUAAAUAGCAAGAAAAUCUUGGUUUGUUGUGGGCCAGGGAAUAAUGGAGGUGAUGGACUUGUAGCCGCCAGACAUCUGAAGUUAUUUGGUUAUCCUACUACUGUUUACUGUCCGAUGCAGACUGACCUAGAGCUUUAUAAUAAUCUAGUGAUCCAAUGUACUAACAUGGAUAUUGAUUUCCUGUCAAAAACUCCUGUUGAUUCAGAUUAUGGUUUAAUUGUGGAUGCUUUAUUUGGAUUUAGUUUUAAACCACCAGUUAGGCCACAAUAUCAUGCUGUAAUGGAGGUUUUGAAGCGAACAAAAGUUCCUAUUGCAAGCAUUGAUAUUCCUAGUGGCUGGGAUGUUGAAAAGGGUCCACCUUCUGAUGGAGGAAUUAAACCAGAACUGUUAAUAUCCCUAACUGCACCAAAAGAAUGUGCUAAGUUCUUUAAAGGAAAAUAUCAUUAUCUUGGUGGUAGGUUUGUACCGCCUGCUUUAGAACACAAGUAUGAAUUAAAUUUACCGGAAUAUCCUGCUACCGACUGUGUUCUACUCUUGGAUAAUAAGAAACAUUGAAAUAUUGGGAAUAUGCAUUGCAGGAUCAAUUCUGCCCAGUUCUUCAUAGUCAAUAGCAUAGAAAUCCUGAAAUCCAACACGGGCUGCCAAUUUUUGCGAUAUAACUGAAGUAAAACCAGUCAAUGUUGCAUGUAUACCCACAUGCCGACAUAUGUGUUCUCGAGCUUCCAAAAUACGUUCCCCAAGUGCCUCACCACGGUAGUCCUCCAAAACAUACAAACCCAUUCCUUUCAUUACACGAUCAAACUUGAACUCUUUGUGAAAAUUCCCUUGGCUUUCGAUCCAUAUUUACGUUAUAGUCACUUUUAACAUUGGCAAUACUUUCGGAUAAUACAUUGAAACCGGCAAGUUUUGUGUUGUUUUGGUCGACUUUUGUUAAGCAAACUAACGUGAGUUUUUCUUGCAGAACCUUGCGCCACACAAGUCGAAAUUCGGCAAGAGUUACGGGAUCCUCAAGAACCUCUAUAAAUAGACAACAAAUUAAAGCAAUCCUUACUUGUUGGAAUAAUAUAUAAUGAAUAAUUCCUA